rnacentral:rRNA from 1 species
CGCCCCUACGGGGCGCAGCAGUGGGGGAUAUUGCACAAUGGGGGAAACCCUGAUGCAGCGACGCCGCGUGGGUGAAGAAGCGCCUCGGCGCGUAAAGCCCUGUCAGCAGGGAAGACAAAAGGACGGUACCUGCAGAAGAAGCCACGGCUAACUACGUGCCAGCAGCCGCGGUAAUACGUAGGUGGCAAGCGUUAUCCGGAAUUACUGGGUGUAAAGGGUGUGUAGGCGGGUGUGCAAGUCAGAUGUGAAAAGUAUUGGCUCAACCCAUAA